UAACCGCAGCUUCACGUCGUCUCAGAGCCCCGCCCUCUAUCUGACUGUGGGAGACUUGGUGACAAAUCUGAUCAUCAGGGUGGUUGUGGUCCACUUCCUCCUGAUCACAGGGACCAUCUGCCUCUUCUUCUCCUGUCGGGUUUACCAGACUCAUGGUGUGGACCAGACCACCACAGAAGAACCACUGAGAACGGAAGAACGGCUGAGAGCAUGAGAACGGACCUGAACCCAUAACGGAAGAACUUAUUAUCUUAUUGUCCUGGUAAAAAAAUUCUGCA